GUUGCACUUACAAAUGCUCCAAUGGUUUAGAUAAGGUAUUGAUGAAUCCAACCAAAACCACAGCGCAGAUUUGCAGGAAAGACAAGGAAGAUUUUCUCUACACUUGUAGUGGGUAGUGGGAUAACAGUGGAUUCUGUUGGGACUGAGGCACCAUAGCAUGUACACCAUUUCAUCACAUUCAACAAGAUGGCUUCCUCAAGGUCAUACUAUCCAAGACAAGGAUGUUGAGCAUUGACCUCCAAGGUGUUGCUGAAACGCAAUCCUUUUAAGUCUCUGCAAGGCUGCCUGUGAAUAUCCAUUAUUUCUGUACAUUGUGGUACAGCAUUAACUGCAGACAGCCUGCCACUUGGUUAUAGUAUAUGUACUAAGCAUAAAAG